UACGGAGGGUGCUAGCGUUGUUCGGAAUCACUGGGCGUAAAGCGCGUGUAGGCGGCCCACUAAGUCUGAUGUGAAAGCCCGGGGCUCACCCCCGGAAGUGCAUUGGAAGCUGGUGGACUCGAGUCCCGGAGAGGAGGGUGGAAUUCCUGGUGUAGCGGUGAAAUGCGUAGAUAUCAGGAGGAACACCGGUGGCGAAGGCGGCCCUCUGGACGGUGACUGACGCUGAGGUGCGAAAGCGUGGGGAGCGAACAGG
rnacentral:rRNA from 1 species